GGGCCCGCACAAGCGGAGGAACAUGUGGUUUAAUUCGAUGAUACGCGAGGAACCUUACCCGGGUUUGAACGCAUUUGGACCGGCGGUGAAAGCCGCUUUCUAGCAAUAGCCAAUUGCGAGGUGCUGCAUGGUUGUCGUCAGCUCGUGCCGUGAGGUGUCGGCUUAAGUGCCAUAACGAGCGCAACCCUUACGAUUAGUUACCAUCAGGUGAAGCUGGGGACUCUAAUCGGACUGCCAGCGUAAGCUGUGAGGAAGGUGGGGAUGACGUCAAAUCAGCACGGCCCUUACAUCCGGGGCGACACACGUGUUACAAUGGGUGGGACAGCAAGCAGCAAUCGGGCGACCGUGAGCCAAUCUUCUAAACCCCAUCUCAGUUCGGAUCGGAGUCUGCAACCCGACUUCGUGAAGCUGGAUUCGCUAGUAAUCGCGCAUCAGCCAUGGCG
rnacentral:rRNA from 1 species